CCUACGGGAGGCAGCAGUGAGGAAUAUUGGUCAAUGGACGAGAGUCUGAACCAGCCAAGUAGCGUGAAGGAUGACUGCCCUAUGGGUUGUAAACUUCUUUUAUAUGGGAAUAAAAUGUUCCACGUGUGGGAUUUUGUAUGUACCAUAUGAAUAAGGAUCGGCUAACUCCGUGCCAUCAGCCGCGGUAAUACGGAGGAUCCGAGCGUUAUCCGGAUUUAUUGGGUUUAAAGGGCGCGUAGGUGGAUUGUUAAGUCAGUUGUGAAAGUUUGCGGCUCAACCGUAAAAUUGCAGUUGAAACUGGCAGUCUUGAGUACAGUAGAGGUGGGCGGAAUUCGUGGUGUAGCGGUGAAAUGCUUAGAUAUCACGAAGAACUCCGAUUGCGAAGGCAGCUCACUGGACUGCAACUGACACUGAGGCUCGAAAGUGUGGGUAUCAAACAGGAUUAGAUACCCCAGUAGUC
rnacentral:rRNA from 1 species